ACGCUGGCGGCGUGCUUAAUACAUGCAAGUCGAACGAUGAAAGCUGGAGCUUGCUCCGGCUGGAUUAGUGGCGAACGGGUGAGUAACACGUGAGUAACCUGCCCCUCACUCUGGGAUAACCUCGGGAAACCGAAGCUAAUACCGGAUACCGACCCUCGGAGGCAUCUCCAGGGGGUGGAAAGAAUUUCGGUGAGGGAUGGACUCGCGGCCUAUCAGGUAGUUGGUGAGGUAACGGCUCACCAAGCCGACGACGGGUAGCCGGCCUGAGAGGGUGACCGGCCACACUGGGACUGAGACACGGCCCAGACUCCUACGGGAGGCAGCAGUAGGGGAUAUUGCACAAUGGGCGCAAGCCUGAUGCAGCAACGCCGCGUGAGGGACGACGGCCUUCGGGUUGUAAACUGCUUUUAUCUGGGGAUAAAAAGCCCAUGCGUGGGACAUUGAAGGUACCAGAUGAAUAAGCACCGGCUAACUACGUG
rnacentral:rRNA from 1 species